ACUCAAAUGAAUAGACGGGGGCCCGCACAAGCGGUGGAGUAUGUGGUUUAAUUCGACGCAACGCGAAGAACCUUACCUGGGUUUGACAUCCUCUGAAUACGGUAGAGAUAUCGUCGUCCCGCAAGGGACAGGGAGACAGGUGCUGCAUGGCUGUCGUCAGCUCGUGUCGUGAGAUGUUGGGUUAAGUCCCGCAACGAGCGCAACCCUUAUCCUUAGUUGCGACCAUUCAGUUGAGCACUCUAAGGAGACCGCCGGUGAUAAACCGGAGGAAGGUGGGGAUGACGUCAAGUCCUCAUGGCCCUUAUAUCCAGGGCUACACACGUACUACAAUGGCCGAAACAAAGUGAUGCGAAACGGUAACGUGGAGCAAAUCGCAAAAACACGGUCUCAGUUCGGAUUGUGGUCUGCAACUCGACCACAUGAAGUUGGAAUCGCUAGUAAUCGCAGAUCAGCAAGCUGCGGUGAAUACGUUCCCGGGCCUUGCACACACCGCCCGU
rnacentral:rRNA from 1 species